rnacentral:rRNA from 1 species
GACGAACGCUGGCGGCGUGCCUAAUACAUGCAAGUUGAGCGCUGAAGGUUGGUACUUGUACCAACUGGAUGAGCAGCGAACGGGUGAGUAACGCGUGGGGAAUCUGCCUUUGAGCGGGGGACAACAUUUGGAAACGAAUGCUAAUACCGCAUAAAAACUUUAAACACAAGUUUUAAGUUUGAAAGAUGCAAUUGCAUCACUCAAAGAUGAUCCCGCGUUGUAUUAGCUAGUUGGUGAGGUAAAGGCUCACCAAGGCGAUGAUACAUAGCCGACCUGAGAGGGGGAUCCGCCACAUUGGGACUGAGACACGGCCCAAACUCCUACGGGAGGCAGCAGUAGGGAAUUUUCGGCAAUGGACGAAAGUCUGACCGAGCAACGCCGCGUGAGUGAAGAAGGUUUUCGGAUCGGAAAACUCUGUUGGUAGAGAAGAACGUUGGUGAGAGUGGAAAGCUCAUCAAGUGACGGUAACUACCCAGAAAGGGACGGCUAACUACGUG